rnacentral:lncRNA from 1 species
GCUGCAUCAAAGAAAACACCAACCUUUGACAAAGAGGAAGCACAUAAUGAGUGCAAAAAAGAGUUAAAAGGCAUUGACUGUGCAAACUAACCUGAAGAAGAUCUCCUAUGUUGAUAACGAGUGCACCGGGUACGUGAGGAACAUCAAACCAAUACCCUUCACGGUUGACUUGAAGACCUUCAAUCUGAUCUGGUAGAAGCACUGUAAGGAAAGAGGUGUCUGAAUGCUGAGUUGUGCCUAACGUUAAGUCAGGCUCUGGACAUGGUGGGUAGUAAUGGUUAAGCAUGAGUAAACCCUUUGAGCAAUCCAUCUCAUUCAAAUGGUUAGGGUCUAACCCUAGAGCUUCUGAUAAAAUCUCAAAGAGAAACUCUCCUAGAGUCAUCACAUGCUUUGUGUAUUCCAACAUAACAUCCCUGAAACAAUUCAUUACAUAAAUAGAUAACAUAUCAAACACUUUUGAAUUAACAUUACUAAUUUUUUUGACAAUUUGAGGACCAUGCAAAAAUAUGUAUUAGGCCUUUAAUUUUGAACCAAACCGAAUCCGCUAAACAAACCAAACAAAAACUUUGGUUAGUUCGGAUUUGGUAGGUUUUUUUUUUUAAAUGGUUUUGUCAAUUUUCUUCUUUAAAAAAGAUAAAUAAAUUUAUAAUCAAACCAUAUCCAAACUCAAACCAAACUAACCGAAUUUAACCAAAGUUAUCCAAAAUUUUAACAAAUUUAAACCAAAAUCUAACUGAAAUAAAAAAAAACUUUGGUAGAGAAUUUUCAAAACCAGACUAACCGAAUACCGAACCAAAAUUUAUUUUGGGUUAAUACAGUAAAAUUUAUGCUAAACCAAAUUACUAAAAACCAAACCAACUACCGGACCAACUGAACCCAGACGCCUAACAUGUAUGAUAACUUUUUAAAAAUUGAGAACUAAACCAAAUGUUUCAUCUAGAUGUGUGCCUCAAAGCAGGUUAAGCAAUGGAGUUAUCAUCAUACCUACAAAUCUCUGGCAAGUCCUCUGGUUUUGGAGGAUCCGGAGCUAUGGUACAAGAGAAAGUAUCUCUCCAGUUAGCAGCUGGAGAGCUGAAGAGAUCAAAGUUACUUAAAUACAUAAACUUUUUACUGAAAUCUCUCACGUAAUAUUGUUUCCUAACGUCUGGUGAUUGCUCAUGAAACCCACGAACUCCAUCUUUCAUCUUCUCUAAAAGAUCAAGCGGGACGCCAUGGUUAAUCACCUGGAAGAAACCCCACUUCUCUGAUGCCUCUUUAAUCCCUUGAACCACGUUCUUGCGCUUAGUCUCGUCCUCGAAGAUUCGUCCUCCGAGAUCAAAGGUUGGGAUCGUUGUGAGAUGUUGCAAGUCAGAGGAAACUGGUUUAGGGUUUGAUAGUUUAAGAGAUGAGUGGUGGAAUAUGCGUGGAACCUCUGAGACUCCGGCGUCUACGAGUCCUUUUACACCUGUCUUGGUCUCGUCGAAGGCUUUAAGCUCGCUGACACGAUCGAAUGAAGCUAUCUUCAUCGUCUCCAUUGAACUUUGUUUUCAGAUAACAGAACUAUCUGGUAAUAAACGUAACCCACAAAGAAAAAAAGAAACUGUCUUCAUGGGGUUUUGGAGAUAAGAGCAGUGGUUACAGCAAAACCAUAGAUCAGAGAUAAGGUUUGUGAGAAGGAAAAAGACAACGGCUUGGGACAAUACCCCCUGGCCCACUAGCUUUAACGCUGUCUUAUUAAACAAGAAAUUAUUAUAGAGAAUAUCAAAGUCUCACGCAUCUUUGAUUAGAUAAUAAUACAAACUAGAUUUUGACCCGCGUUUAAGAAGCGCGGAUAUUUUUUUGGUGACCGUAAACUCAAAUAUUAAAUAAAUUUAUAUUUAUUAUUAGAUAUUUAAAAAUAUUUAAAAGUUGUUCUAUUAUUAUUAUUUCAGUCUGGUACAACGUUUUCAUUGAGUUUUCAUAUCCGAAUCAGACUUGUGGUCGAACCGUAAGAUCUAGUAACUCAUAUAUAGUGGGAUAGAAUAUAAUAAAAUGAAUAUAGUAAAAGUAUCUGAAAAUCAAAAAAACCGUUAUUAAUCCACUGAAAAAAAUAUAAUAUGUUUUUUUAAUAUAAAUUUUUGAUAUAUUAAUAUACACUUGACAUGUAUAAGAAAUUUCUUUUAACAAAUAUUGUUAAGUUUAUUUAUAAAUAUAUUAAUUAUUAAUCUACCAAAAUAGUGAAGCAAGUAUUAUUUCUUUUUCCUUUUUUAAUUUUCUAUCAAACUAUUAUCAAUUUUUUUUAAAAAAAAUCAGUUUGUGACAGAUAUUUUAUUAUUAGAAAUCCAUACAAUUUAAAUAAUGUUACAUUUAUAUGUAUUUAUGUAUAAAAUGGUCUUCAUAAUUUGGGAUUUUGUAAAAAAUGGAUGUAAAGUUAAUUUGGUUAAUUUUUUUUUUCUGUAACAAAAGUUAAUUGGAUUUAUAAUUUUCUUUUCUGAAUGGGUUGUAUCAGUUAAAUUAUCUUUUUUAAGUUAAACGCCCAAAGCCCAACUAAUAAUAUUUAUUUUGUUGAUAACAAAGUGAGAUUAAAGAGGGAUAACAUAUAAUAUAUAAGGAAGACCAAAAAAUAAAAAAAGGAAAGAGUCUAACAACCUUUUAUAAGUAGAUUUUUAAAUAAUGCUUCCCUUUUAAUAGUAUAGAUACUCGUUUUCACACACAUUUCAUAUUUUUCUUAUGUUACAUUAUUCUGUAAAUAAUUAUAGAUAGUUUACAUGCACAUUCUUAUCCAUUUUAUUGACAGAGGUGCUUACUUGCGCAUGAAGUUAAGUCAGGCUCUGCCAGGCCCGGCUCACUAUGUUAUGUUUAUAUUUUAAAAUGGAGCAAAGCAGAGGUUCCAUCUAGACCUUUGGCAUUGAAGUAAGCAGAGUAGUCUCUAAUAGUGAUCUCUCUGUACCUGGGAGGGCUUUCUUCAGACACAAGCUCUCUAAUGGGUCCGUACAACCUAGGAUUCGGUCUUACACCCGUGGUGAAGAAACACGCAACCGAGACUCGAGCUCUGGUGGCUCUAUUUGCUAAUACACGAUGCUCCAAACUAAUGAACUUGUCGUUUGUUAUAAGCUGCAUCACAACACCAAAAAUAAAAUACAACCUUUGAACAAAGAGGAAAAACAUUCUAUACGAUGCAAAACAGAGAAAAAGGCAGUGAUUGUGCAAACUAACUUGUAGAAGAUCUCCGAUGUUGAUAAUGAGUGCACCGGGAACAUGAGGAACAUCGUACCAGUGCCCUUCACGGUUGAUUUGAAGCCCUUCAAUUUCAUCUGGAAGAAGAACCGUAAGGAAAGAGUUGUCUGAAUGCUGAGUUGCGCCUAAAGUUAAGUCAGGCUGUGGACAGGGUGGGUAGUAAUGGUUAAGCAUGAGCAAACCCUUUGAGCAAUCCAUCUCAUUCAGAUGGUUAGGUUCUAACCCUAGAGCUUCUGAUAACAUCUCAAAGAGAAACUCUCCCAAAUUCAUCACAUGCUUUGUGUAUUCCAACAUAACAUCCCUGAAACACUUUCCAUUAUGUGAAUAGAGCUAGAUAACAUAUCAAACAAGGCUGAGUUGGAGAUUUAUGUGGUCAUAACAUUUUUGAGUUAAUCUUAUUGAACUUUUUUGAUAAUUUUGGAGAUCAUGCAACCUAUGUAUAAUAUAGCUUUUCAAAAUUUGGAAACCAAACUGAAUGUUUCAUUCAUCUGAUGUGCCGAGGACCGUGUUGGAGUUAAAAGUUUCAGAACGGAAAUAUGAAAAAGAUUUAAAUAAUAUAUAAAAGAUUUUAGUCAUUUCACUUAAUCCUCAAUUGAUUUUAACUUGAAAACCAAACAAACUUAACUUUGGAAUCAUAGCGGACGUACACUGAUUUGAACUACUGCACUUAACGCCAAUUAGUUUUAAUUUAGAAGUCCAAAAAACUUAAUAAACAGGUUUAAGCAACGGAGUCAUCAUCAUACCUACAAAUCUCUGGCAAGUCCUCUGGUUUUGGAGGAUCUGGAGCAAUGUUACAAGCGAAAGUGUCUAUCCAGUUAGCAGCUGGAGAGCUGAAGAGAUUGAAAUUACUUGAAUACCGAAACGUUCUACUAAAAUCUCGCCCGUAGUAUUGUUUCCUCACGUCUGGUGGUUGCUCAUGAAACCCACGAACUCCAUCUUUCAUCUUCUCGAGAAGAUCGAGAGGAACUCCAUGGUUAACCACCUGGAAGAAACCCCACUUUUCUGAUGCCUCUUUAAUCCCUUGAAUCACGUUCUUGCGCUUAGUCUUGUCUUUAAAGACUCGUCCUCCGAGAUCAAACGUUGGGAUCGUCGUGAAGUCAGAGGAAAGUGGUUUAGAUUUUGAUAGUUUGAGAGAUGAGUGAUGGAAUAUUCGUGGAACCUCUGAGACUCCGGCUUCUACGAGUCCUUUUACACCUGUCUUGGUCUCGUCGAAAGCUUUAAGCUCACUGACACGAUCGUAUGAAGCAAGCUUCGUCGUCUCCAUGCUUUUUUUUUUUUUUUUUCUGUUUAUCAAAUAACAGAGGAAUCUGAUAAUAAACGUAACCCACUUUUUUUUUUUUUUUUUUUUUUCUGUUUAUCAAAUAACAGAGGAAUCUGAUAAUAAACGUAACCCACAAAGAAAGAAAGAAACUGUCUUCAUGGGGUUUGGAGAUGAGACAAGUGGUUACAGCAAAACCAUAGAUCAGAGAUAAGGUUUGUAAGAAGGAUGAAGACAACGGCUUGGGACUGUACCCCCUGGGCCACUGGCUUUGACACUGUCAUUUUAAACAAUAUAUACUUGUUCUUGUUCCGCGUCAGAUUCAUCAUAAAUAAUGUUCAAAGCACUCAGAAGCAGAACUUUACAAAUAUUUUUCUGAACAAGUAAUGGUGAACAAUAACCUAACAAAAUUCGUUGAGAUUAUUUGUGUUUAAUACUCUGUUUCACAGAGAUACAUUUUUCUAGUGUUCUCGCACAUAUUAAAAAAUAUAUUAAAUUACUAUAAUAAAUUUUCAUUUUCUAUAUUUUUUAUUUUUCAAUAAUUUUUAAUUAAUAUUAAUUCAAUAAAGUUAAUUAAUUUUUUUGAAGAUCAUAAUUUUUUCAUAGAAAAUAUAAAACCUUAUCUUUGUGAAACAGAUUUUAUUUUCUAAAAUAUCUAACUUAACGAAACGGAGGGAGUAAUAUAUUCUGCUUUACAUGAUCUUUCAUUCCACUAACAUAAACCAAAAAUCCGAACCAAAAUUCUGAGCCAAAAUGGUGAACCGAAAUAACCAAACUUAUUUUCUAAAAUUUUAACCAAUUUAGCCGAAUUCAUAAGUCUAGGUUAAGUUCAGUGAAUUUUUUUGAAAUUGAAAUAACUGAAAACGGUUCAAUUCGGCCAAACCAAACUAUUCGAGUUCCAAACAAACCGACCCGGAAAAAAUCCGAACGUGCAUGCCUAUCAUGACUCAUGAGCCGUGAAUAUACUUUUUUCAGCUUUAUCGGAACUUGAUAAGAUUCUUAGGAGUGAAGCAUAAAUAAAGAUGCUUAUGAACCUCUUGGGAAUUCUUUUAUUACAUAUAGUUUCAUGUCGCUUAUGUUUUGAGAUAGCUGCAGCUCACUAUGUUCAUAUUUUAAAAUGGAGCAAAGCAGAGGUUCCGUCUAGACCUUUGGCAUUGACGUGAGCAGAGUAGUCUCUAAUGGUGAUCUCUCUGUACCUUGGAGGGUUUUCUUCAGACACAAGCUCUCUAAUGGGUCCGUACAACCUAGGAUUCGGUCUUACACCAGUGGUGAAGAAACACGCAACCGAGACUCGACCUCUGGUGGCUCUAUUUGCUAAUACACGAUGCUCCAAACUAAUGAACUUGUUGUUUGUUAUAAGCUGCAUCACAACACCAAAAAUAAAAUACAACCUUUGAACAAAGAGGAAGAACAUUCUAUACGAUGCAAAACAGAGAAAAAGGCAGUGAUUAUGCAAACUAACUUGUAGAAGAUCUCCGAUGUUGAUAAUGAGUGCACCGGGAACAUGAGGAACAUCGUACCAGUGCCCUUCACGGUUGAUUUGAAGCCCUUCAAUUUCAUCUGGAAGAAGAACCGUAAGGAAAGAGUUGGCUGAAUGCUGAGUUGCGCCUAAAGUUAAGUCAGGCUGUGGACAGGGUGGGUAGUAAUGGUUAAGCAUAAGCAAACCCUUUGAGCAAUCCAUCUCAUUCAGAUGGUUAGGUUCUAACCCUAGAGCUUCUGAUAACAUCUCAAAAAGAAACUCUCCCAAAUUCACCACAUGCUUUGUGUAUUCCAACAUAACAUCCCUGAAACAAUUCACCAUGUCCAGAGUAAAAUAAAACAUAUUUGAGUUGGUCUUAAUAUUUUUUUUCAUAUAAUUGGGGGACCAUGCAACUUAGGCCUGCAAUUUUGUCCAAACCAGCCGAACCAAACCGAAAUUUUGGUUUUCAGUUCGGUUACGGUUAUGAAAUCUGUUUUCAGUUUGGUUAGAUUCGGUUUUCGAUUUUCAAAAAUAUAAAAAACAACCAAAUUAUCCAAAAUAACCAAAAGUAAUCAUAAUAACAGGACUGGAUUAACCUAACUAAUGGAAAAUAACCUAAUUUAACCAAACUAACCAAAAAUAUCUUGAGUUUUUAGAAAAUUAUACUGAAAUCUAACUGAAAUGGAAAUAAAACUAAAAACCAAAAUUAACCAAAAACUGCACCGAACCAAACCAAAUUUUUUGUUUACUUCGGCGGGAUUGUGGCCGAACUAAAUACUCAACCCGAACUAACUGAAUAAACUGAAUCUGCAAGGGUAAUGCAACCUAUGUAUAAUAGCUCUUUAAAUUUUGAGAACCAAACCAUGUUUCUAGAAUCGGUCAUGUUAUCAAAGCAGGUUAAGCAAUGGGGUCAUCAUAUCAUACCUACAAAUCUCUGGCAAGUCCUCUGGUUUCGGAGGAUCUGGAGCUAUGGUACAAGAGAA